rnacentral:rRNA from 1 species
UACGUAGGUGGCGAGCGUUGUCCGGAAUUACUGGGUGUAAAGGGAGCGUAGGCGGGAAGGCAAGUCAGAAGUGAAAAUUAUGGGCUUAACCCAUAACCUGCUUUUGAAACUGUUUUUCUUGAGUGUGUCAGAGGCAAGCGGAAUUCCAAGUGUAGCGGUGAAAUGCGUAGAUAUUUGGAGGAACACCGGUGGCGAAGGCGGCUUGCUGGGACAUUACUGACGCUGAGGCUCGAAAGCGUGGGGAGCAAACAGG